rnacentral:lncRNA from 1 species
GAUUAGUGCUGUGUGUGAAGAACUUGAUAGCAAAUAUCAUUUCAUUCGGGGAUUAGGUAUCCAAUUUAGGCACGAUCUAAACUUAAUUAGAAUAUAUAAUACUCAUUAAUGCCCAUGUAAGGACAAUUUGGCAAGACAAUGUGAUAAGACGGUUACUUUCUUUGUUGAUGAAGAAAAUUUAAGCAAAUGAGAAAAUUUAUUGAUGUAAUUUGAUUAUAGGGAUAUCUU